GUGAUAUCAAGUUUUGCUUUUUCUUAUUGAAAGUGUUAAGGUACGUUGGCAUAGGCUCGUUAAAAACGAAUGUUUGGGGUUCAGAUAUGUUAUCCAUGCAUUAAAUUUUCAGAGAUAAGUCAAGCAAAAGAACUGCAAAUUUAGCCGCCAUCAAUGUUUUACUAAUUGCGGUAGUAACAGUUUGGUUUAGUGAUGGAAAUAGCAUAGGUAGCAUAAUAACAUAAGUCGCAGUAGCUCAGCUGUGUUAUUGUUUACAUUACUUGGUUGCGAAUUUUUGGCAUCAUUUAUUGUUUGCGGGCUUUUUUCCUUCAAAAUUAGAUUGCUCGUAAUCUCUUGACGAUGGGAUUUUAUGAUUUACCUCUCUCAUUACUAAUUUGAUUUAAUCCUACAACGC